UACGUAGGUCCCGAGCGUUGUCCGGAUUUAUUGGGCGUAAAGCGAGCGCAGGUGGUUUAUUAAGUCUGGUGUAAAAGGCAGUGGCUCAACCAUUGUAUGCAUUGGGAGCUGGUAGACUUGAGUGCAGGAGAGGAGAGUGGAAUUCCAUGUGUAGCGGUGAAAUGCGUAGAUAUAUGGAGGAACACCGGUGGCGAAAGCGGCUCUCUGGCCUGUAACUGACGCUGAGGCACGAAAGCGUGGGGAUCAAACAGG
rnacentral:rRNA from 1 species